rnacentral:rRNA from 1 species
UUCGGGGGUGCUCGAGUGGCGAACGGGUGAGUAACACGUGGGUGAUCUGCCCUGCACUUUGGGAUAAGCCUGGGAAACUGGGUCUAAUACCGAAUAGGACUCCGGACUGCAUGGUCUGGGGUGGAAAGCUUUUGCGGUGUGGGAUGGGCCCGCGGCCUAUCAGCUUGUUGGUGGGGUGAUGGCCUACCAAGGCGACGACGGGUAGCCGGCCUGAGAGGGUGUCCGGCCACACUGGGACUGAGAUACGGCCCAGACUCCUACGGGAGGCAGCAGUGGGGAAUAUUGCACAAUGGGCGCAAGCCUGAUGCAGCGACGCCGCGUGAGGGAUGACGGCCUUCGGGUUGUAAACCUCUUUCGCCAGGGACGAAGCGCAAGUGACGGUACCUGGAGAAGAAGCACCGGCCAACUACGUGCCAGCAGCCGCGGUAAUACGUAGGGUGCGAGCGUUGUCCGGAAUUACUGGGCGUAAAGAGCUCGUAGGUGGUUUGUCGCGUUGUUCGUGAAAACUCACAGCUUAACUGUGGGCGUGCGGGCGAUACGGGCAGACUGGAGUACUGCAGGGGAGACUGGAAUUCCUGGUGUAGCGGUGGAAUGCGCAGAUAUCAGGAGGAACACCGGUGGCGAAGGCGGGUCUCUGGGCAGUAACUGACGCUGAGGAGCGAAAGCGUGGGGAGCGAACAGGAUUAGAUACCCUGGUA